GAUGAACGCUGACAGCAUGCUUAACACAUGCAAGUCGAUGGGGAAGUGGUGCUUGCACCCUGGUAACCAUGGCGGACGGGUGAGUAACGCGUAAGGAACUUGCCUGCUGGACUGGGAUAACAGCAGUAAACUGCUGAUAAUACCGGAUAAGGUCAUUAAGCUGCAUAGCUUAGUGAUGAAAGGAGACGCCUGCGGAGAGCCUUGCGUCCUAUUAGCUAGUUGGAGGGGUAACGGCCCACCAAGGCGAAGAUAGGUAGCCGGCCUGAGAGGGUGGACGGCCACAAGGGGACUGAGAGACGGCCCUUACGCCUACGGGAGGAAGCAGUGGGGAAUAUUGGACAAUGGGGGCAACCCUGAUCAAGCAAUUCUGUGUGCACGAAGACGGUUUUCGGAUUGUAAAGUGGUUUCAGAAGGGAAGAAGGAAGUGACGGUACCUGCAGAAGAAGCGACGGCUAAAUACGUG
rnacentral:rRNA from 1 species